GAGAUGACUACAAUCACCAAGUGUUCUCCCCACAACAUUUUGACUCAAUACCUUGUACGGUUCCUCGUAUAAAUGUAUUUUCCUACUUCACACAAAUCUGGCUUUGCGUUUCCCUUUUUGAAGGGUAUAUUUUAAUUAUGACUAACGGUUUGGGUUUGCGAAGUUUCAAGAUGACCGGUUCGGUGUGCCAUAUGUUUUGUGACGGACUUUUCAGCUAGGUUGUCAAGGCUUCUUGUGGGCUGUGGGACUGACAGGUCACACAAAAAAACCAGGAGCAUAGUAGAAAGGGCCCUCGGUCAACUCAAACGCAGGUUUCCUGUUCUCCAUGGGGAAAUCAGGUUAAAACCUGAGAAGGCUUGUAAGGUGAUAAUAGCAUGUGCUGUCCUACACAAUAUUUGCAAGGACAGAAAUAUCCCAGUUCCACCCACUGAUGGGCAUGAUGGACUUGGCAGGCUUGCUGGACAGAAUGGACCUCAAGCAGUGACUGCUCCACCAGUAGCUGCACUCAGAUACAGGGAGCACUUUGCCAAUACCAACUUUCCAUAGUUUCCACGGUUGGUGAAGUGAGGGACCCUGUGACAUCUGGCUCCUUGGAAUACAUGUUGGCUCCUUCUGGUUGAGGAUGUGGAUCUGACAUGGCGGUGUCAUAAAUCUCUCUGCAACAGAAAAUAUGAAAGUUUUAAUUGUAAUUUUCACAUAAAUGUUCUUUUCAAUUUCAACAA